CUGGAGCUUGCUCCGGCCGUGAGAGUGGCGAACGGGUGAGUAAUGCGUGACCGACCUGCCCCAUACACCGGAAUAGCUCCUGGAAACGGGUGGUAAUGCCGGAUGCUCCAGUUGGAUGCAUGUCCUUCUGGGAAAGAUUCUAUCGGUAUGGGAUGGGGUCGCGUCCUAUCAGCUUGAUGGCGGGGUAACGGCCCACCAUGGCUUCGACGGGUAGCCGGCCUGAGAGGGCGACCGGCCACAUUGGGACUGAGAUACGGCCCAGACUCC
rnacentral:rRNA from 1 species